GAGACAAAAAUUGCUAGCCACGAUGCAUGGUGAUAAAGAUCCUCAAUAAUAAUGAGCUGUGAUGAAGAUUAGGAUGAUGCCGAGCAGUGGUGGCUAUCAGUAAUAGUAGUGGACAAAUUGGGGAGCGCCAACAAUCAUAGAUGGCAUGAGGAUCAUCGACAAUUGGAGGCGGCGGUUAGAUGGUAAGUGGGGAACGAUGGUGGGCAGUGAGAGA
rnacentral:lncRNA from 1 species